GACUGGCUGCGCUUGUUUUCAGGGUUUUGGUCUGAAAACGGAUCUUACCUGCGCAGAGCAAAAUCGGUUGUAGAUUAUAUCCACGAAAAUUCCUUCUAUUAAAAUGAAUUUCAAGUCCCACCUACCCUGGAAGCAGAAAGAGAGAGAAGAGAGAGAGUAAAGAGAAAGAGAAAAGAAAGAGAAGUUGAAAAAGAGAAAGAAAACCAAGAAAGAAAGAGAAAAAAACCGAAAAUAAAUGGACAAGAAAGAAAAACGGUGAAGGUCAACCCUGUGCUCAAUUCCAGAGACUUUCCUAGGGACAUCGUGUUGGGCAUGGAGGACUAAGGCCAGUGUGAAGAUAAGUCACCGAUUCUUUAAAAAAAAAAAGCCAGUAACUUAUAAAAAUAGCCAUAAACGACGUAGUUUUUUGUUGUUGUUGUUGUUUUGAGACAGCGUCUCCCUCUGUCCCCCAGGCGGGAGUACAGUGGCAGGCACUCAGCUCACUGUAACCUCCGCCUCCUGGGUUCAAGUGAUUCUCUUGCCCCAGCCUCCAGAGUAGCCACCACGCCCGGUCCAACUUAGUUUUUUAAUACUUUUUAAAAUUUUAAGACAGGGUCUCUGCCACCGAGGCUGAAAUGCAGUGGCGCAAUCAUAGCUCACUGCAACCUUGACUUCCUGGGGUCCUGGGCAGGUGACCCCCUGUCUCAGCCUGCCGAGUAGCUGUGAGUAAAGGCCUGUGCCUCUCCACUGUGCUAAUUUUCUACUGUUUGUUGCUUUGUUUUUAAUAGAGAUGUAGUCUGGUUUUGUUGCCCAGGCUGGUCUCCAGCUUCUAGCCUCAAGCAGUCUUCCCAUCUGCUCCUACCAAAGUGCUCGGAUUAUAGGCAUGAAUCACCUUGCAUGGGAGAUAAGGACCCCCACAUCAAGCCCUCAGGUCACUGGGAUCCUGGACUACGGCACUGCUCCAGGCAGGCCUGGUUAUCCUGCUUGAGGCAGCAAUCCUCUUGAGCCUAGUGAAAUGCAACUGGCUGUACCUCAAUGAUGUUGCCCUGAGAUUCUGCCAGUCGAGGUAUUACUUCAAUCUCCUGAGACCAGCCUCUACCUCCAGAUCCAGGGAGGCCAACGUGCCAUGCAUCCCUGGAGCAUGAAACCCAGGAUGGGCCGCCUUCCAGCCUCCCACAGCUGUGAUGCAAGUUGAACACAUACAGAGAGACUGCAUCUGCACUGGGUGGUUUUCCUGAGCCUUGGGGAGCAGAAUGCAUGAAUCCCAGGCUCAUAAACAGAAGAGACUUGCUUGUCUCAGAUGAAACUUUGGACUGUGGACUUUUGAGUUAAUGCUGAAAUAAGACUUUGGGGGACUGUUGGGGAGGCAUGAUUGGUUUUGAAAUGUGAGGACAUGAGAUUUGGGAGGGACCAGGGGCAAAAUGAUAUGGUUUGGCUGUGUCCCCACCAAAUCUCAUCUUGAAUUGCAGCUCCCAUGAUCCCCACAUGUGGGAGGGACCCGGGGGGAGGUAACUGAAUCAUGGGGGUGGGAUUUUCCCAUGCUGUUCUCAUGAUAGUGAAUAAAUCUCAUGAGAUCUUAUGGUUUUAUAAAGGGCAGUUUCCCUGCACGGGCUCUCUCUUGCCCGCCACCACGUAAGACAUGUGUUUGCUCCUCCUUCACCUUCUGCCAUGAUUGUGAGGUCUCUCUAGCCGUGUGAAACUGUGAGUCCAUUAAACUUCUUUUUCUUUAUAAAUUA
rnacentral:lncRNA from 1 species